rnacentral:rRNA from 1 species
UGGGGAAUAUUGGACAAUGGGGGAAACCCUGAUCCAGCAAUGCCGCGUGAGUGAAGAAGACCUUAGGGUUGUAAAGCUCUUUCGCCCGCGAAGAUAAUGACGGUAGCGGGAGAAGAAGCCCCGGCUAACUCCGUGCCAGCAGCCGCGGUGAUACGGAGGGGGCUAGCGUUGUUCGGAAUUACUGGGCGUAAAGCGUACGUAGGCGGAUGCGCAAGUUGGGGGUGAAAUCCCGGGGCUUAACCUCGGAAUUGCCCUCAAAACUGCACGUCUUGAGACCGAGAGAGGUAAGGGGAAUUCCUAGUGUAGAGGUGAAAUUCGUAGAUAUUAGGAAGAACACCAGUGGCGAAGGCGCCUUACUGGCUCGGUACUGACGCUGAGGUACGAAAGCGUGGGGAGCAAACA